GACGAACGCUGGCGGCGUGCUUAACACAUGCAAGUCGAACGGACAGGCCCUGCUUUUGUGGGGUGCUCGAGUGGCGAACGGGUGAGUAACACGUGAGUAACCUGCCCUUGACUUUGGGAUAACUUCAGGAAACUGGGGCUCAUACCGGAUAGGAGCUCCUGCUGCAUGGUGGGGGUUGGAAAGUUUCGGCGGUUGGGGAUGGACUCGCGGCUUAUCAGCUUGUUGGUGUGGUAGUGGCUUACCAAGGCUUUGACGGGUAGCCGGCCUGAGAGGGUGACCGGCCACAUUGGGACUGAGAUACGGCCCAGACUCCUACGGGAGGCAGCAGUGGGGAAUAUUGCACAAUGGGCGGAAGCCUGAUGCAGCAACGCCGCGUGCGGGAUGACGGCCUUCGGGUUGUAAACCGCUUUCGCCUGUGACGAAGCGUGAGUGACGGUAAUGGGUAAAGAAGCACCGGCUAACUACGUG
rnacentral:rRNA from 1 species